rnacentral:rRNA from 1 species
GACGGGGCCGCACAAGCGGUGGAGUAUGUGGUUAAUCGAUGCAACGCGAAGAACCUUACCUGGUCUUGACAUCCCGGAGACCCUUAGGAAACUAGGGGGUGCUUCCAUCUGGAAGAAUCUGGAGACAGGUGCUGCAUGGCUGUCGUCAGCUCGUGUCGUGAGAUGUUGGGUUAAGUCCCGCAACGAGCGCAACCCUUGCCUUUAGUUGCCAGCAGUUCGGCUGGGCACUCUAAAGGGACUGCCGGUGUUAAACCGGAGGAAGGUGGGGAUGACGUCAAGUCCUCAUGGCCUUUAUGACCAGGGCUACACACGUACUACAAUGGCCGAUACAAAGGGCAGCGACACUGCGAGGUGAAGCCAAUCCCGUAAAAUCGGUCUCAGUCCGGAUUGGAGUCUGCAACUCGACUCCAUGAAGUUGGAAUCGCUAGUAAUCGUGGAUCAGCAUGCCACGGUGAAUACGUUCCCGGGCCUU